CCUACGGGGAGCAGCAGUGGGGGAUAUUGCACAAUGGGGGAAACCCUGAUGCAGCGACGCCGCGUGGGGGAAGACGGUCCUCUGGAUUGUAAACCACGGUCCCCAGGGACGAAGAUGACGGUACCGGGGGAGGAAGCUCCGGCCAACUACGUGCCAGCAGACGAGGUAAUACGAAGGGAGCGAGCGUUGUCCGGAAUUACUGGGUGUAAAGGGAGCGUAGGCGGGACGGCAAGUUGGGUGUCAAAUCUACCGGCUCAACCGGUAGCCGCACUCAAAACUGCAGUUCUGGAGUGACGUAGUGGCGGGCGGUCUUCCUUGUGUCGCGGUGCAAUGCGUCGAUAUUUGGCGG
rnacentral:rRNA from 1 species